UCUUUAUGUCACUUCUCAAUGAUGUCUGUACUGUAGGACGGAAUUUUACAUUGCUUUAGAAAACCUCCGAACAAGAACCGAACGGAAAAGCAACCCACAAUAUCACCAAAUAACAAUGUCCAACGGCCUGAUAGUUUCAUCGUCUCCGGCAGCGCUGAGGCUCCACUGGGAUGUGUUCUUAAGUUUUCGCGGAGAAGACACCCGGGACAGCUUCACCAAACAUCUCUACGAUUCUUUAAAUAAGCAAGAGAUCAGGGUCUUCUUAGAUGCCUCUGGAAUGAUUCAGGGAGAUGAGAUUGCUCCAACUUUAAUGGAGGCAAUUCAAGAUUCAGCCUCAUCGAUCAUUAUUCUUUCACCAAGGUAUGCCAAUUCUCAUUGGUGUCUCGAGGAGCUGGCAAGAAUAUGCGAGCUGAGGAGGCUGAUCCUGCCUGUUUUCUACCAAGUUGACCCAUCUAAUGUCAGAAGACAGAAGGGUCCUUUCGAGCAAGAUUUUGAGAGUCAUUCCAAGAGGUUUGGAGAUGAUAAGGUGGUGAAGUGGAGAGCAGCAAUGAAUAAAGUUGGUGGCAUUUCUGGUUUCGUUUUUGACACCAGCGGAGAAGAUCAUUUGAUUCGGCGAUUGGUCAAUAGGGUUUUGCAAGAAUUGAGAAAAACCCCGGUAGGUAUAGCUACUUAUACGGUUGGACUGGAUUCCCGCUUAGAAAAGUUGAAGAUGAGGUUCACAGAUGAUAAAUCAAAUCGCGUACAAGUUCUUGGACUUUAUGGAAUGGGCGGGAUUGGUAAAACAACUCUUGCCACAGCUCUCUUCAAUAAACUUGUUGGUCAUUUUGAAAGUCGCUGUUUCAUCUCAAACAUUAAAGAUAUUUCUCAAGAAGAUGGUGGUUUAGUAACGCUGCAGAACAAGCUUCUUGGUGAUCUUUUCCCAGACAGGCCUCCUGUAAAUGAUAUUAAUGAUGGUAUUGCUGUAAUCAAGGAGCUGUGUCAUGAGAAGCGAGUGCUGGUUGUUUUAGAUGAUGUGGAUGAUGUAAACCAGCUGAAUGUAUUAGCAGGAAAGAGAGAUUGGUUUGGUGAAGGAAGUAGAGUUAUUGUUACCACAAGAAACAGAGAUGUUCUUGUUGAACAUCUUGUGAACGAGUUUUACGAGGUUAGAGAGUUAGGUUCCUCGGAAGCCUUAAAACUUUUUAGUUAUCACGCACUAAGAAGAGAUAACCCCACAGAAGAAUAUCUAAAUAUAUCCAAGGAGAUUGUAUCUCUCACAGGAGGACUUCCUCUGGCAUUGGAAGUGUUUGGUUCUACUUUGUUUAAUGAGAGAGGGAUAAAGAAAUGGGAAGAUGUCCUGAAAAAAUUGCGAGAAAUUCGACCUGGUAAUCUUCAGGAUGUCUUAAGAAUAAGUUUUGAUGGAUUGGAUGAUGAAGAGAAGUGUGUAUUCCUUGACAUUGCUUGCUUGUUUAUUAAAAUGAGGAUGAAGAGAGAGGAGGCUAUUGAUAUUUUGAAUGGUUGUGGCUUUAGGGCUGAGACAGCAAUCACAGUUCUGACAGUAAAAUGUCUCAUUAAAAUUGGUGGAGAUUAUGAAUUAUGGAUGCAUGAUCAACUUAGAGACAUGGGAAGACAAAUUGUUCGAGAUGAAAACCUUUUAGAUCCUGGUAUGCGUAGUAGGCUUUGGGAUCGCGGCGAUAUCAUGACAAUGCUGAAGCACAAGAAGGGAACAAGACAUGUACAAGGUUUAAUCCUUGACUUUGAAAAGAAGAAUUAUGUCAGAACUCAAAAAAUUUCUUGGGUUAAAGCACUUAAUCCGAGUUCUUCACUAGACUACUUGAUUGAAAAAUGUAAGCUGUUUCUUCAACUAAGAGCAGAGGAGGGAGAGCUGAUACUUGACACUGAAGCCUUGAAAUCAUUGGUUAAUUUGAGACUCCUACAAAUCAAUCAUGCAAAAGUGAAAGGGAAGUUCAAAAGUUUUCCUGCUAGCCUGAAGUGGUUACAAUGGAAAAAUUGUCCUUUGAAAAAACUUCCUUCUGAUUAUGCUCCUCAUGAACUAGCAGUGCUAGAUCUAUCGGAGAGUGGAAUUCAACGAGUUUGGGGUUGGACUAGGAACAAGGUGGCUGAGAACUUGAUGGUUAUGAAUCUUCGACGUUGCUAUAAUCUCGAGGCCAGUCCUGAUUUAUCUGGAUGUAAAAAGUUGGAAAAGCUUGAUUUUAAAGGCUGCAUACAACUGACCAAGAUUCAUGAAUCACUGGGGAAUGUAAGGACGUUACUUCAAUUGAACUUGGAUAAAUGCAUAAACCUUGUUGAAUUUCCACGUGAUGUCUCUGGGCUCAGACUUCUUCAGAAUCUCAUUCUCUCCAGCUGCUUAAAAUUAGAAGAAUUGCCACAGGACAUAGGCAGCAUGAAUUCCUUGAAAGAACUUGUUGUUGAUGAAACUGCUAUAUCUAUGCUUCCCCAAUCUCUUUACCGCCUUACAAAACUUGAGAAGCUUAGUUUGAAUGAUUGCAAAUUCAUAAAAAGGCUGCCAGAACGCUUGGGAAACCUGAUUUCUCUGAAGGAACUCUCUCUCAAUCAUUCUGCAGUUGAAGAACUGCCAGAUUCUAUCGGAUCUUUGUCAAACCUUGAGAAACUAAGCUUAAUGCGGUGCCAGUCACUCACUACGAUUCCUGAAUCCAUUAGAAAUCUCCAGUCAUUGAUGGAAGUUUCAAUUACUAGCAGUGCAAUCAAGGAAUUACCUGCUGCAAUAGGUUCAUUACCUUAUUUAAAGACAUUAUUCGCUGGAGGGUGUCAUUUUCUGAGCAAAUUGCCUGAUUCAAUUGGAGGACUUGCUUCUAUUAGCGAACUUGAGCUAGAUGGGACAUCAAUAUCAGAACUUCCAGAGCAAAUUCGUGGUUUGAAAAUGAUUGAGAAGCUUUACUUGAGGAAGUGCACAUCUCUUAGAGAAUUGCCUGAAGCAAUUGGGAACAUACUGAAUCUUACUACUAUAAACUUGUUUGGUUGUAAUAUUACUGAGUUGCCUGAAUCCUUUGGGAGGCUGGAAAACCUUGUGAUGUUGAAUUUGGAUGAGUGUAAAAGGCUCCACAAGCUUCCAGUUUCAAUAGGAAAUUUGAAGUCUUUAUGCCACUUGCUAAUGGAGAAGACUGCUGUUACAGUAUUACCUGAAAAUUUUGGAAAUCUCUCUAGCUUAAUGAUAUUGAAAAUGCAAAAAGAUCCGCUUGAAUAUCUCAGAACACAAGAACAGUUGGUUGUCCUUCCAAAUUCUUUCUCAAAACUCUCCUUGCUAGAAGAACUAAAUGCUCGUGCUUGGAGAAUAUCUGGAAAACUUCCUGAUGAUUUUGAGAAACUGUCAUCGUUAGACAUCUUGGAUCUGGGCCACAACAAUUUCAGCAGCCUUCCAUCCAGUUUAUGUGGCCUUUCUCUUCUACGGAAGCUUCUCCUGCCUCAUUGUGAAGAGCUGAAGUCUCUCCCUCCGCUUCCCCCAAGUUUAGAGGAAUUGGAUGUUUCCAACUGCUUUGGAUUGGAAACAAUAUCAGAUGUUUCAGGCUUGGAAAGGUUGACGUUGCUGAACAUCACAAAUUGCGAGAAAGUGGUGGACAUUCCUGGCAUCGGAUGCUUGAAAUUCCUAAAACGGUUAUACAUGAGCAGUUGCAAGGCAUGCUCCUUGACAGUGAAGAGAAGACUAUCCAAGGUUUGCUUGAGGAAUAUUCGCAACUUAAGUAUGCCUGGGAGUAAAUUCCCAGAUUGGUUUUCUCAAGAAAAUGUAGUUCACUUUUCCGAGCAAAAAAAUCGUGCAAUCAAAGCUGUGAUUGUAAGUGUUGUCGUCUCUCUGGACCGCGAGAUACCAGAGGACUUGAGAUAUUCCCCACUUGUACCAGACAUUCAGGCCAUUGUACUUGAUCAGAAUAUACCUAUCUACAGCACCACAUUAUACUUACGGGGAAUACCAAAGAUUAAUGAGGAUCAAAUUCACAUAUGUCGAUAUUCAAAUAUCCAACCUUUGGUUUCAAUGUUGAAAGAUGGCUGUAAGAUACAGGUAAGAAAGCGAAAUCCACCGGUGAUUGAAGGGAUUGAGCUGAAGAAGAGUGGAAUUCUCCUGGUUUAUGAGGACGACGAUGAUUAUGAUGGAAAUGAAGAAUCGUUGGAUGAAAGUCAACAAUCUGUAUCACAAAAGCUGGCCAAUUUUUUCAAUUCAUAUGAAGAAGAUAACCAAGUUUGUUGAAGUUGAAAGACAAAGUGCACGAUAUUGAAGGGAAUGAAUGAUCAAAAAGUUCAGCAAACAUGCAAUGCAGUAAUUUGGAAGGUCUUGUCUUCCAUGAGAAUUGAAUUUUAAAAUUCAUAUGUAAGGUCUUACAUCGGGCACUGAGGAUGCUAGACAGGACUUAGUUACGUACUGGGAGACAACUUCUCUGCUUGCUGGCUGUGUUGAUGCUAUCUGAAAUGCUCCAUGUUGCUAUCUUAGUUGUGGCUGGAUUGAGGAAUAUGUCACAAUCAUUCGAAGAAGAAGGGUAAUAAUCAUGUAUCUAUGUAUGUAUGUAUGUCUAUGUAUGUAUGUAUGUAUGUAUGCUACCUAUGUGUUGAAUUUAUUAUAAACUAUCGUGAUAAAUAGAUGUGGAUUACUUUUGAGUUGUGAUGAUAAGGAAAGCGUACAAGAUGAUUGGACUUA